AUGUUUGAUGUUCUAACGUGGACCCGUAAUCCGGGUUGCGGACAGUGUCUGGUGGGUAGUUUGACUGGGGCGGUCUCCUCCCAAAGAGUAACGGAGGAGCACGAAGGUUGGCUAAUCCUGGUCGGACAUCAGGAGGUUAGUGCAAUGGCAUAAGCCAGCUUGACUGCGAGCGUGACGGCGCGAGCAGGUGCGAAAGCAGGUCAUAGUGAUCCGGUGGUUCUGAAUGGAAGGGCCAUCGCUCAACGGAUAAAAGGUACUCCGGGGAUAACAGGCUGAUACCGCCCAAGAGUUCAUAUCGACGGCGGUGUUUGGCACCUCGAUGUCGGCUCAUCACAUCCUGGGGCUGAAGUAGGUCCCAAGGGUAUGGCUGUUCGCCAUUUAAAGUGGUACGCGAGCUGGGUUUAGAACGUCGUGAGACAGUUCGGUCCCUAUCUGCCGUGGGCGCUGGAGAACUGAGGGGGGCUGCUCCUAGUACGAGAGGACCGGAGUGGACGCAUCACUGGUGUUCGGGUUGUCAUGCCAAUGGCACUGCCCGGUAGCUAAAUGCGGAAGAGAUAAGUGCUGAAAGCAUCUAAGCACGAAACUUGCCCCGAGAUGAGUUCUCCCUGAGACUUAGAGUCUCCUGAAGGGACGUUGAAGACGACGACGUUGAUAGGCCGGGUGUGUAAGCGCAGCGAUGCGUUGAGCUAACCGGUACUAAUGAACCGUGAGGCUUAACCUUACAACGCCGAAG
rnacentral:rRNA from 1 species